rfam:Myotis brandtii contig194922, whole genome shotgun sequence.
GGUGGUUCUCCGGUGACGCACCCCAGAAUCGGGCUCCCUCCUCUCUGGUUCCAGGGUGCGUCACUCGAGGACCGCA